AUUGAACGCUGGCGGCAGGCCUAACACAUGCAAGUCGAGCGGAGCGGCGGACGGGUGAGUAAUGCCUAGGAAUCGGCCUGCUAGUGGGGGAUAACGUCCGGCUACGGGCGGUAAUACAGCAUACUAUCAGAUGAGUCUAGGUGGGAUUAGCUAGUUGGUGGGGUAAAGGACUACCAAGGCGACGAUCCGUACCUGGUCUGAGAGGAUGAUCAGUCACACUGGAACUGAGACACGGUCCAGACUCCUACGGGAGGCAGCAGUGGGGAAUAUUGGACAAUGGGCGAAAGCCUGAUCCAGCCAUGCCGCGUGUGUGAAGAAGGUCUUCGGAUUGUAAAGCACUUUAAGUUGGGAGGCGUUACCAACAGAAUAAGCACCGGCUAACUUCGUGCCAGCAGCCGCGGUAAUUC
rnacentral:rRNA from 1 species